ensembl:lncRNA
UGACAAGCAGUUGUGUUGUGAGUAUAUACCUGGGCUUAUAUGUAUAAUAUUUAUAGUUAUUAUUUUUUUUAUUAUUGUUGUGUUUUAGUAAAUAACCUUAAUCUCAACCCUAAAGUUCUAUUUUGUUUCUAUCUCUGCCUUUAUAAGAGCUAACCAUCUGCUCCAGGCCUAUGAAAUAAUUUUCUGGAACACAACAAUCACACCAGUAACAUGUGGGCCUGAAUACGUGGCCACAUAGAUAAAAUUUGCAAAUACCUUAUUAUGCAUAAGGAGAAUAUGGCAAACUCAUAUGAGGACUGCUAUUUAGGAAGCAUGCUCUAGAAGUCAACUGCCUUUUGCAGAAGUCAUGAUGGAGGAAUAAGCACUGGGUACCAUUAAAGAGUAUUUUAAUAAAAUAAAUGAAUUUUCAAGGAAGUUUUUGUCACCAGUAAGAGCAUUAUUAGAAUCUGCCUUAUCCUUACUAAUUGGAUUUAGCUGUCAAUACUGAGGCUGUUUUUGUGAGGGUGCACCACUCCCAUGGGAUGCAGACUGAUGCAAAAUCGGCUUCCCAUGGUCUGCAAUUCUGCUGCAUGCUUCCACAAGGGAUGAAGGCUUCAAGAAUGGAUGGUUCUAUGUGAGUUCAUGAUCUGCAGCUCCUACCAAGAGCCUGUUCAUACAGGGGCUCACCAUGGUCUGCAGCAGCCUCCCUCAGACCACAUCUACCUGCUCCAUCAUGGACUCCUCCAUGGGCUGUAGCAUUGUGGUACGCCAUGAGCAUCAGAGGGACAGCCUGCUCUACAAUGGGCCUCUCCAUGAAUUACAGGGGAAUUUCUUCUCUGGCAUUUGGAGCAUCUCCUCCCUUUGUUCACUGACCUUGGUGUCUACAAAGUAGUUUUGCUAUGUUAUCUCAGCCCUUGCAGCUUCUCCUGUGGAGUGUUGUGAAAGACAAAACUGUUUUUCUGUUUUGUCUCAAAGCUUGCUUCGUGAGGCCUUUCUGGUGAUAAGACUCUAACUGACAACUGCAAAUUUUCUAGGGGGGCGAGUGGUGGGUGUCACUGUGCCACAGUACCUCUGCUUAUGAUUGUAAAAAUAAGCAGAAGUGGGACAAGCAGACUUUUUUGGGGGUGCAGCUUGAUGGAGCUGACCACUACAAAAGGCGAUAAUGAUUGUGCAUGGCAAUGAAGGCACCAAUCCCUGCUGACUUAUCUGUUGGGCCAGGUAGGUCACAGUAACAGAGAGAAAAGAAGAAGAAAAAAAAAAGCCAGAGAAAUGGGGGAUUAAAAGGCCCUUACUAAACUAAGGACUCUGAAGAAGGAUGCCCAAAGAAACCUUUGAUGGAGAAUUGGCUGAGGAGAAAACCUCUUUGGAAGAAACCCUUUCCCCUCCUCCCCCGUGGCCUGCUUGCUACAAAGCUUCCUGGCUUUCUCCCAUCUCCCAUGGUGACCAGACGAGUUCCUGAAGAUCGUCAGACAUACUACGAACCUCACUGGACCCACGGUGGUGACUAUCUCUCUCUUGCUUUUUACAGACUCCUUGCUUUUCAUUUCCUAUCUCUUUUCUAUCGUCCAUCUUCUGUUCCCCGUAUCCCUAAGCAACUAGGAUUUGUAAUAAAUUGGUCGAGCUAAC